GGGGAAUAUUGGACAAUGGGCGCAAGCCUGAUCCAGCAAUGCCGCGUGUGUGAAGAAGGCCUUCGGGUUGUAAAGCACUUUAAGCUGGGAAGAAAAAACCGAAACUAACAUUUUCGGUCUUGACGGUACCAGAAGAAUAAGCAACGGCUAACUCUGUGCCAGCAGCCGCGGUAAUACAGAGGUUGCAAGCGUUAAUCGGAUUUACUGGGCGUAAAGGGUGGGUAGGUGGUUUGGAAAGUCGGUUGUGAAAUCCCCGGGCUUAACCUGGGAAUUGCUUCCGAUACUUCCGAACUAGAGUACGGUAGAGGGCGGUGGAAUUUCCGGUGUAGCGGUGAAAUGCGUAGAUAUCGGAAGGAACACCAAUGGCGAAGGCAGCCGCCUGGGCCUGUACUGACACUGAGACACGAAAGCGUGGGGAUCAAAC
rnacentral:rRNA from 1 species